AACGCGAAGAACCUUACCAGGUCUUGACAUCCCUCUGACCGGUACAGAGAUGUACCUUUCCUUCGGGACAGAGGAGACAGGUGGUGCAUGGUUGUCGUCAGCUCGUGUCGUGAGAUGUUGGGUUAAGUCCCGCAACGAGCGCAACCCUUGAUCUUAGUUGCCAGCAAUUCGGUUGGGCACUCUAAGGUGACUGCCGGUGACAAACCGGAGGAAGGUGGGGAUGACGUCAAAUCAUCAUGCCCCUUAUGACCUGGGCUACACACGUACUACAAUGGCUGGUACAACGGGAAGCGAAGCCGCGAGGUGGAGCCAAUCCUAUAAAAGCCAGUCUCAGUUCGGAUUGCAGGCUGCAACUCGCCUGCAUGAAGUCGGA
rnacentral:rRNA from 1 species